UCCGGUUUGGCACCGGCAGUCCUCCCAGAGUCCUCGACAUGACUCGUUAGCAACUGAGGACAAGGGUUGCGCUCGUUGCGCCACUUAAGGCAACACCUCACGGCACGAGCUGACGACAGCCAUGCACCACCUGUGCAGGCUCCGUGGAGCGCCGGCUUUCACCGGCUUCACCCUGCAUGUCAAGCCCAGGUAAGGUUCUUCGCGUCGCAUCGAAUUAAGCCGCAUGCUCCGCCGCUUGUGCGGGCCCCCGUCAAUUCCUUUGAGUUUCACCGUUGACGGCGUACUCCCCAGGUGGAUUACUUAUCGCUUUCGCUAAGCCGCGUACUGUAUAUCGCACACAGCGAGUAAUCAACGUUUACAGUGUGGACUAC
rnacentral:misc_RNA from 1 species